rnacentral:rRNA from 1 species
CUUCUGAUUAUUGGCGAACGGGUGAGUAACACGUGAGUAACCUGCCCUUGACUCUGGGAUAAGCACUGGAAACGGUGUCUAAUACCGGAUACGAGCUUCAGCCGCAUGGCUAGGAGCUGGAAAGAAUUUUGGUCAAGGAUGGACUCGCGGCCUAUCAGCUAGUUGGUGAGGUAACGGCCCACCAAGGCGACGACCGGUAGCCGGCCUGAGAGGGUGACCGGCCACACUGGGACUGAGACACGGCCCAGACUCCUACGGGAGGCAGCAGUGGGGAAUAUUGCACAAUGGGCGAAAGCCUGAUGCAGCAACGCCGCGUGAGGGACGACGGCCUUCGGGUUGUAAACCUCUUUUAGUAGGGAAGAAGCGAAAGUGACGGUACCUGCAGAAAAACACCGGCUAACUACGUGCCAGCAGCCGCGGUAAUACGUAGGGUGCAAGCGUUGUCCGGAAUUAUUGGGCGUAAAGAGCUCGUAGGCGGUUUGUCGCGUCUGCUGUGAAAACCCGAGGCUCAACCUCGGGCCUGCAGUGGGUACGGGCAGACUAGAGUGCGGUAGGGGAGAUUGGAAUUCCUGGUGUAGCGGUGGAAUGCGCAGAUAUCAG